AUGUACGAUGAGAGCAUAGAGGUGACCAAUGCAGAGGAGGUGCGUAGCCCCUCACCUCAGAGCAACGAUAGCAUGAAAGAGAAAUCUGGACCACAAGAUGAGCGGAAGAAAAACCCGCCAUCAAGAACUACAUCUGUUCAAAAACAAAACAGCAAAUCAGAGAAUACCUUCUCUACGGAAUCGAGAAAGGAUCUGGGUCGGGGAUCGCUUGAGAUGGGCAAAAGAGGAUCCGCCUCCCCGCUGAAGGACAGCCAGCUCCUCUCGUUCCACGGACGCGACGAUGACGAGGACGACGACGAUGACGAUGAUGAUGACGAUGAUGAUGACGAUGUCGAGGCUUCAAAAAUUGAGGGGAUGUACGAUCCUAGGGAGUAUGAAAAUUUACCAGUGCCUCAGGAACUGAAGGACAUUUUCUCCUACAUUACAAGUAAGUGAAUAAAAUUUGAAAGUUAAUGGAGAGAAAAAAAUAGUAAAA
rnacentral:lncRNA from 1 species